GACGAACGCUAGCGGCAUGCCUAACACAUGCAAGUCGAGCGAGCAGAUCCCUUCGGGGUGAAGCUAGCGGCGGACGGGUGAGUAACACGUGGGCAACCCGCCUCAUAGAGGGGAAUAGCCUUCCGAAAGGAAGAUUAAGACCGCAUAAGAUUGUAGCUUCGCAUGAAGCAGCAAUUAAAGGAGCAAUCCGCUAUGAGAUGGGCCCGCGGCGCAUUAGCUAGUUGGUGAGGUAACGGCUCACCAAGGCGACGAUGCGUAGCCGACCUGAGAGGGUGAUCGGCCGCAUUGGGACUGAGACACGGCCCAGACGCCUACGGGAGGCAGCAGUGGGGAAUAUUGCACAAUGGGGGAAACCCUGAUGCAGCAAUGCCGCGUGAGUGAUGACGGUCUUCGGGUUGUAAAGCUCUGUCUUCGGGGACGAUAAUGACGGUACCCGAGGAGGAAGCCACGGCUAACUACGUGCCAGCCGCCGCCGUAAUAC
rnacentral:rRNA from 1 species